AACGUAGGACACAAGCGUUAUCCGGAGUUACUGGGCGUAAAGGGCGUUUAGGCGGGUGAUUAAGUUCGCUAUGAAAGCGCCAGGCUAAACCUGGUGAGGCUGGCGGAUACUGGUCAUCUGGAGUGAGUCAGAGGAAGGUAGAAUUCCGCGUGUAGUGGUGAAAUGCGUAGAGAUGCGGAGGAAUACCAGUGGCGAAGGCGGCCUUCUGGGACUCAACUGACGCUGAAGCGCGAAAGCAUGGGGAGCGAACGGG
rnacentral:rRNA from 1 species